GACGAACGCUGGCGGCGUGCUUAACACAUGCAAGUCGAACGAUGAAGCUAGAGCUUGCUCUGGUGAAUUAGUGGCGAACGGGUGAGUAACACGUGAGUAACCUGCCCCGAACUCUGGGAUAACUGCUGGAAACGGUAGCUAAUACUGGAUACGACCUACGAAGGCAUCUUCUGUAGGUGGAAAGAAUUUCGGUUCGGGAUGGACUCGCGGCCUAUCAGCUUGUUGGUGAGGUAAUGGCUCACCAAGGCGACGACGGGUAGCCGGCCUGAGAGGGGAAACGGCCACACUGGGACUGAGACACGGCCCAGACUCCUACGGGAGGCAGCAGUGGGGAAUAUUGCACAAUGGGCGCAAGCCUGACGCAGCAACGCCGCGUGAGGGAUGACGGCCUUCGGGUUGUAAACCUCUUUUAGUAGGGAAGACGCGAAAGUGACGGUACCUGCAGAAAAAGCACCGGCUAACUACGUGCCAGCCGCCGCCGUAA
rnacentral:rRNA from 1 species